rnacentral:rRNA from 1 species
UACGGGGGGGGCAAGCGUUGUUCGGAAUUACUGGGCGUAAAGGGCUCGUAGGCGGCCAACUAAGUCAGACGUGAAAUCCCUCGGCUUAACCGGGGAAUGGCGUCUGAUACUGGAUGGCUUGAAUCCGGGAGAGGGAUGCGGAAUUCCAGGGUGUAGCGGUGAAAUGCGUAGAUAUCUGGAGGAACACCGGUGGCGAAGGCGGCAUCCUGGACCGGCAUUGACGCUGAGGAGCGAAAGCCAGGGGAGCAAAACGGG